AUGUUUACCAUGGCAAUUUUGAGAAAGGAUCCAAUGAAUUCAAGCCACAGAAGAGGACUGCAAACCUUCUUUCACACAGUACAUCUUGGCUCACUUCCUGCCGUUGGAAAAGAUUGUUUCAAUACCUGUGAACAUGUGCAUUACAAGAGACAGACUUGCUCCUUCCUGCAUCGAAAACUGAGCUCUGAAUAUUUCUCUGAGAACCUCAAGCAUGGAUAAUUAGCAUAUUGAACAGAGAGUGCCUUCCUACCCCUGAAAGAAAAAAAGGAGUUGACUGAGGCAGCACCACUGUUACAGGCUGAGGACUAGCUCCACAUGACUCAGAAGUGAAAGAGAGAAAUGAAACCAAAGCCUCCUACAGCAAAUUUCUUCCUACCUCUCUUCUCCCUUUCUCGAACCAAACUGUAUUGUCUUAAUCUGAGAAUGUGAUUUAUUUGUGAAGUAUCUAGUGGGUGGCAGAGGUGGGGAGCAAAGCUGCACAAAGCUCCCCUGAGCUGCUGACCGAGGUAAAUAGUGUGUCAUAACACAUUUAUCAAAUAAUAAUGGAAACCGUAUAGAACACGUAGGAGAGGGAGGGGGAAACCCCAUUCCCCACUGGGAAGUUACUGAAUAUUUCAGCCAGUUUAUAAAAAUAUGUGUACAUGUGUUUGGAAGGGGGGAGGUUUUUCUAGCUUCACCUCUGCAAAUAAAUCAUUGGUGUGGGAUGUCUGAGCA
ensembl:lncRNA